rnacentral:rRNA from 2 species
GGGGAAUAUUGGGCAAUGGGCGCAAGCCUGACCCAGCAACGCCGCGUGAAGGAAGAAGGCUUUCGGGUUGUAAACUUCUUUUGGCAGGGACGAAGAAAGUGACGGUACCUGCAGAAUAAGCUCCGGCUAACUACGUGCCAGCAGCCGCGGUAAUACGUAGGGAGCAAGCGUUAUCCGGAUUUACUGGGUGUAAAGGGCGCGUAGGCGGGAAUGCAAGUCAGAUGUGAAAUCUGAGGGCUCAACCCUCAAACUGCAUUUGAAACUGGGAGACUUGAGUGCAGAAGAGGAAAGUGGAAUUCCAAGUGUAGCGGUGAAAUGCGUAGAGAUUUGGAGGAACACCAGUGGCGAAGGCGACUUUCUGGUCUGCAACUGACGCUGAGGCGCGAAAGCAUGGGGAGCAAACA